rnacentral:pre_miRNA from 1 species
UAUUAAAUUUUUAUCAAUUUGUACUAUUGAAAACUGACAUAACUGACGGAAUAAUUAAAUAAUAAUAUGUGGUGUGCUACAUUUAUCUCAUGAUGAUGUAUAGAGAUAAAGUUUUAACAAUAAAAUUGGAAGAAAUUUUUAAUA